rnacentral:rRNA from 1 species
AUGCUGGGCGUCCUGCUGCUCCUCCUCCUGCUCAUGCCGCUGCCGGCGACUGCAACGGCACAGCUCUGUGGCAGCGGCGGCAGCUACGUAGCCAACGGCACCUACGAGUCCAACCUCGCCGCCCUCGCCUCCACCCUCCCCGCCAACGCCUCAUCCUCCCCGCAGCUCUUCGCUGCCGCCACUGCCGGCCAAUCCCCAGACGCAGUGCACGCGCUCGCGCUCUGCCGGGGCGACUUCGCCAACGACACCGCAUGCAGGGACUGCGUCGCCGCCUCCUUCCAGCACGCGCAGUGGACAUGCCCCAGCGACAAGGCCGCCACCGUCUACUACGAGUACGACAACGACCAGAGACCAGGCUGCGUGCUCGGCUUCUCCGGCGACGAUGGCUUCCUCAACCCAGCGGCCAAUCUCACCGGGAACGGCACUCUCUUCCAGGCGUGGAACACGGGGAACAUCUCCGGCGUCGCCAGUGUCAUCGCCGCCGGCGUCCACGAGCUGCUGACCGCCACGUCCGAGGACGCAGCCGCCAACGUGACGAGGCGGUACGCCACCGUGGUCAUGGAUUCUGCCCCGACGCUCUACUCUCUAGCGCAGUGCACGCCGGACCUGUCCGCCGGCGACUGCCAGGCGUGCCUCCAGCGGCUCAUCGGCAUGGUCAACGCCACCACGUCUGUGCGCCUGGGAGGACGGAUCUUCGUGCUGCGUUGCAACGUCAGGUUCGAGACUUUCAUGUUCUUCGAUCAUCCCAUGCGGCGGAUCAGUCCAUCGUCCAACGCUCCGGCUCCUCCCACAGGUCAUGGAACGCAGCCUUGGGUAAUUGCUAUAUCUGUAGCUGCUCCACUAGCACUGGUUGCUUUCUGCGUCACUGUCUACUGUCGUCGCCUCAGAGGAAGAAAGAACAAAAAUGGUGCAAAGAUACUACGAGAAAAACGUAGUUACAAGUUGCAAGAAGGAGAUCAAGAACUAGUAUGGGAUAUGGAAGCAGGAUUAUCCGGCUUCACAGUUUAUGAUUUUCACGAGAUAUUGGAAGCUACAAGUAACUUUUCCGAAGAAAAUAAACUUGGAGAAGGAGGAUUUGGCCCUGUAUAUAAGGGUCAUUUUCUUCAAGGAUUGGAGAUAGCAGUCAAGAGACUUGCUUCACAUUCAGGACAAGGUGUCUUAGAGUUCAAAAAUGAAGUUCAGCUCAUAGCCAAACUUCAACAUAGAAAUUUGGUUAGACUCUUGGGAUGUUGCUCCCAAGGAGAGGAAAAAAUAUUGGUCUAUGAAUACUUGCCAAACAAAAGUUUGGACUUCUACAUAUUUGAUGAAUGUAGAAAAGCUUUAUUGGAUUGGAACAAACGUCUUGCAAUAAUUGAAGGAAUAGCAGAAGGACUUCUUUACCUACAUAAGCACUCUCGUUUGCGUGUGAUACAUCGAGAUCUUAAACCAAGCAACAUUCUCUUGGACGAUGAAAUGAAUCCUAAAAUUUCAGAUUUUGGCCUAGCAAAAAUAUUUAGCUCAAAUAACACGGAAGAAGACACCACAAGAAGAGUGGUUGGUACUUAUGGUUACAUGGCUCCGGAGUAUGCCUCCGAGGGCCUAUUCUCCAUCAAAUCCGAUGUAUUCAGCUUUGGUGUCUUAAUUCUUGAGAUCCUUAGUGGGAAAAGGAAUUCUGGUAGCCAUCAAUGUGGAGGUUUCAUCAACCUCCUCGGAUAUUCUUGGCAGUUAUGGGAUGAGGGAAACUGGAUUGAUAUUGUUGAUGCGUCAUUGACUCCCAAGUCUCCCCAGCAGAAAUGA